rnacentral:rRNA from 1 species
UGAGAGCGGCGUACGGGUGCGGAACACGUGUGCAACCUGCCUUUAUCAAGGGGAUAGCCUUUCGAAAGGAAGAUUAAUACCCUAUAAUAUAUGAUUCGGCAUCGGAUUAUAUUGAAAACUACGGUGGAUAAAGAUGGGCACGCGCAAGAUUAGCUAGUUGGUGAGGUAACGGCUCACCAAGGCGACGAUCUUUAGGGGGCCUGAGAGGGUGAUCCCCCACACUGGUACUGAGACACGGACCAGACUCCUACGGGAGGCAGCAGUGAGGAAUAUUGGACAAUGGGUGGAAGCCUGAUCCAGCCAUCCCGCGUGUAGGAAGACGGCCCUAUGGGUUGUAAACUACUUUUAUCUGGGGAUAAACCUACUUACGUGUAAGUAGCUGAAGGUACCAGAUGAAUAAGCACCGGCUAACUCCGUGCCAGCAGCCGCGGUAAUACGGAGGGUGCAAGCGUUAUCCGGAUUUAUUGGGUUUAAAGGGUCCGUAGGCGGACUGAUAAGUCAGUGGUGAAAUCCGACAGCUUAACUGUCGAACUGCCAUUGAUACUGUUAGUCUUGAGUAAGGUUGAAGUGGCUGGAAUAAGUAGUGUAGCGGUGAAAUGCAUAGAUAUUACUUAGAACACCAAUUGCGAAGGCAGGUCACUAAGUCUUAACUG